UUCUGAAAACUCCCAGGUGAGGCUCUUCUAGAACCCUGACUCUUCAUGGGAGACAGAUGGAAGACGGAGCCUCGCCGGGAGCCAUGCCCGCACUCACACUCACCUGGAGGGCUCGCCGGGCGCAGCCUCCAGUGUUCCCCAUGCGUGUGGGGUGGGAAUGAGAAUUUGCAUUUCUGCCGAGCGAAGAUCGCCACUCAGGCAACACUGAUCUAGAGAGGAUUUUUCUAACUCAGCUUGCCUAUCCCACACCUGACCGUCUGUCGUACCCCCUGGAGAGGACCUGGGGUGCACAGCUGGGCAACAGGGUAGUUCUGAUUCAGAAUCGGGGUAAAAAGGAUUACAGAGCCCAUAGCUCCCAUCGUCCUCGUGCUGUUUCUUAGGUGUCCUCCAAGCCCGAAAAAGUUGCCAGCUAGCCACCCAGAAUAUAAAAAGGGAAUUGACAGUUGAUCGUAUUUCUUUUCUUAGCUGCAAGUAAAGUCUCUUGAAACUUAUUGUUGAUUUUCAGCAAACAGCUCUAAAAAGGCUACAUUACUAAUGGUCUAUUACCAGGCCUGGUGGCAAGCCAGCAACCCAGAGCAAGCAAAGCAGCAUGCCAGGAGAUCUGGGCUCCCUUUGACCUCCGUGGGGCUUGUCCAGACUCCUUGACUUCACCUUAUAGGGUAAUGGCCAGGACUUAAGUCACAGAAUGAGGGCUGAGAACACGCUGCUGUCAGAGGAAAGGCAGCGGUGAAAUGAAAACACAAAAGCUGUGGCAGCUCCAUCGGUCUCUGAAAGUGACCACCAGUCUCUGCUGCUGCCCAGAUUCUGCGUCUUCCAGAUGAGCUGUGCCUGGGCUAGGCUAGUCCACCUUGGAAGGAAUGGUGAACUGUUUACAAAGCCAUUCAAGAGAAUGAGAUCAGUCUUCUAUGCUGAGGUGGAAAGAUGUGAAAAAUACUUUUAAGAGAAAGAGCCAGACGCGGAGCAGCGGGUAUGCGGUUGGUCCUGAAAAUUCUCCAGCGAAUGCCAACAGUGGGAUAGCUCUGAACAGCCCUAGAAGUGAAUCAGCCAGACUUUUUAAGGUUCCUGUAAGAACUCCCCCUUCAUUGCUUCUCGUCUGCUAUCCUCCUCCUCAUCCAAGCUGUUCUCAGAGCACAGAUCAGGCCUGCCAGCCGCAGAGGAACCGUGUUUCAGAUACCUCACGUAACAGUUCCUUGUCUCCAGGAUCUUCUAUAUCUUAAGUGCGUAGCUCUGGUCUUUCAUCUCUUUUCCCCCAUUGUCUGCUUCUACCCUGGGCAUGAACGACCCACUUGGCUCUGGCCCUCCAUUCCCCGGGCUGCCCCCCCCCCCCCCCAUCACUUCCAGCUCCUCCUCUGUUCUCUCUCCCCAUCCCUUCCCUCCCACUUGCUUCCAAAGUGAUUCAUGUAGUGGACUUCCCAGCCAGACUGAUUCAGAGCUCUUCUCUCCAGGACAGCUCUCUCUUCCAUUUCAUGGCAGCAAUCUGAAUGUCCAGUCCAGACUCAGCCUGCCUAUUGAAGGGUGCCUGACUGACCUCUCCAGGCUCCCCUCUUCGCUCCCAUGUCCCAAACAAGCAGCCUCAGAAGGCUUAGAGGGACAGUGGGGCUCUGGUCUUGCUCUCC